GAUGAACGCUGGCGGCGUGCCUAAUACAUGCAAGUCGAGCGAAUGGAUUAAGAGCUUGCUCUUAUGAAGUUAGCGGCGGACGGGUGAGUAACACGUGGGUAACCUGCCCAUAAGACUAGGAUAACUCCGGGAAACCGGGGCUAAUACCGGAUAACAUUUUGAACCGCAUGGUUCGAAAUUGAAAGGCGGCUUCGGCUGUCACUUAUGGAUGGAACCGCGUCGCAUUAGCCAGUUGGUGAGGUAACGGCUCACCAAGGCAACGAUGCGUAGCCGACCUGAGAGGGUGAUCGGCCACGCUGGGACUGAGACACGGCCCAGACUCCUACGGGAGGCAGCAGUAGGGAAUCUUCCGCAAUGGACGAAAGUCUGACGGAGCAACGCCGCGUGAGUGAUGAAGGCUUUCGGGUCGUAAAACUCUGUUGUUAGGGAAGAACAAGUGCUAGUUGAAUAAGCUGACACCUUGACGGUACCUAACCAGAAAGCCACGGCUAACUACGUGCCAGCCGCCGCUGUAA
rnacentral:rRNA from 1 species